rnacentral:tRNA from 2 species
GCGGGUGUAGUUUAGUGGUAAAACUACAGCCUUCCAAGCUGUUGUCGCGAGUUCGAUUCUCGUCAUCCGCU